CAAGUGUGCCUGGUCCAUAUAAAUCGCCAUAUGCAACCCCGCAGUCGCCCUGUUUGUCGAUGACAAAGUAAAGGCGCAAGAUACCCCGGAAUUGAACGACAUUUUCAGUUCAGAAAUCUUCUGUUCCAGCUACUUUUGUUGUUGCAGAAGGAAACUGAUUUCAUAAUCGCCCGAGGAGAAGUGGCCCACAUAGGAGGGGGCAGGAAGGAAGUGGGGAGGGGGUGCAUGGAAUCUCAUUGUUGAGACCCCCCCCCCCCCCCCUUUCUGACGCAGCGCGCCAGGAGAAAGCCCAGCAGCUCCUAAAGCGUUGCUGUUGCUGCGAUGAUCCUGCAUUGUUAUCGGUGGCACAGAGCAGCGUUUGGUGAGGCAGCAUUCUGGAGCUCUCCCCCUCCACGCAUUUUUUCCUCCUCCUUCUUGAAAUUACCCUCAUCAAUUCCGCCAAAAUCUCCGCGCAGAUGCUAGACAAGGAGCCAGCGCUGAACGUGAUCAGACCAAUGGGGUAUCCGCCUGGAGGAGCUGGGGCUACGGCUCAGCCAAACGGAGUCCGCGCCGCCGCGACUGACACGAGGGGUCGGGCUUGUCUGCUCUCGAUUUGGGGGUUUGCGCAGGGGAUAGGCCCCCCUUGGGACCGCCACAUCUGGAUCCUGCCAGGGGUCAAGGCUUCUCGUGCCUCAGGCCAGUUCAGCGCGGUGUAAUUAAGGGAGACACCUUGUUUAACUGUUUGGUGGCGGUCCCCAUUUUUGUUCAAGUUAACCGUAUGUUGCUUUUAAACAAAAAAUGUAAUUCAAUUGUCACGCGCUUUGAUGCUUUGUUAGCCUAUAGCCUACACGAAUAUGUGAAUUUGAUAUUUUGAGGGGUUUUGGUUGUCGAUGU